rnacentral:lncRNA from 1 species
AGUGGUCUUGAGCUACACCCCUUCUGUGAUGUAGGCAUGAUGUUUCUGGGGGUGGUCUUGGACUCCAAGGUGGACUCUAACCUGGGUUCUGUGUCCUCCUCCUCCUCCUUUCCUGCGUGUAAGGGGAGCACCCUGUUGCAACAGUUCAAUAAAAAUCAGGCUUACUAGCUGCUUUGCUUCUCAGUAUUCUCUGCUUGGCCUCUGUUCUUUUCUCCAACCGAUGGAGAACCUGCAAAGGACUCUAUAAAGGCUCUUGUGUCCCCCAUAAGGGAAUAAGGGCAGAUUUUUGUUUAUUACAUCAGCCAGCAGCCUGGUCUCACAGCAGCCAGCCAGAUGCCCCAGCGAGGAACCUGCCAGCAGAAUCCAAGCACCAGAGCAACAGCUCUCCCUCCUGUGGUUUCAGAAACAUUGGUGUUCCCCAGCUGUGGAGACAGAGCAGAACAGUGCCAUAGUUAUGGGGGGGCAGGGCUAGCCAGAUUUUCUGCCCCGGGUGAAGCCUCCAGAGGGUCCCCAUUGAGGCUCCCCGCCUGUGUGUGUGUGUGUGUGUGUGGAUGCAAAUGUGCCAACCUGGGUCUUUGACCAGGGCAAAGAGAAGUCGUCUUUUGCCCCUGUAGCCACUGAUGGCUCUCUCUCCUCCUCCCCACACUUGUAGGGCCAUGGGAUGCUGCUGGUGCCCCAAGAGGCUUUGCUCCAUGAAAAGAUCCUGAGGCCGUUGAGCCUCUGGAAGAGAUUAAGGGAAUAUUCAUCAUGGCUCUGGUCUAGAGGAUCAGUAGGUCACACACAGAGAAAAGGGGGGGGAUCCUCAUCCUUUGGACAAACAGCCCAGAAAGGCAGGAAGCCGCCCCCCCAUCCCAGCCAGCUUCAUGGACUUUCCCCAUGUCUCUUCAUCCCCCAAGAGCUUUGCCUGCACCAACUGGGGGUCUGGUGAUCUGACUCGGCUUUCUCAAGUGGGGGCUUAGCGGCCGGACGAGGCCUUUUGUGUGCCUGGAGGAGAGCUCUGCUUUCGGCUGGGAUGCGAAGAGGUUCUGAGCACAUCUGUGCAGCCAGAGGGGCCUGCAGGAUCAGUCCAGGGACCCACAGAGUCCAGCAUCCUCUUCUCACGGUGGCCAACCAGAGAUGCCUGGGGGGAACCAGCAAGGAGGAGUCAAACACAGGAGCAAUGCCACCCCCUCCAGUGCUUUCCAGAAAUAUUACUCCCUCUGACUGCUGCAGCAGAACAUCGCUGUGGUGGCUGGAAGCCCUCGGGUGCCCUCUUCUCCUCCAUGAAUUUGCCCAGUCCUCUUUUACUGAGAUCCAAGUUUUACUGAGAUCCAUCACUGCCUCAUGUGGGAGGGAGUUCCAUAGUUCAACUCUGUCCUGCACAUAGAAGGACUGUCCUCUGUCCUGCAUCUUCCAACUUUCGCAAGUUUUUUUGUGUUAUGAGAGAGGGAGGAAAACUUUCCUCUGCCCACUAUCUCCCUGCCAUGCCUAAUUUUAUAAACUCUUCUUAUUCACCUUGUCUCGAAACUAAAGAGUCCGAAACUCUGCACGCUUUCACUCCAUCCCUCUGAGUAGAGAUGCCAAGAGGGGUUCCUGGGACUGGUGCCCUGUGUGUCGAUUGGGCCCCUCCAUCCUCUCCUCCUGCAUCUAUUGACAAUAAUCAUUGCUUAUGAGCACAUAUUAACUUUGCCUAUCCUACCUCACAGGGCUGUUGCAAAAAUAAAAGUGGGAGGGGAGGAAGACUGACCCGGCCUCUAGCUCUAGCAACAGCUUUUAUUAACCCAUGCCUCCUUUCUUUGCCCCCAGAGUGGCUGCCGUGUGUCGCUCAGGCACCGCUUCUCUGCUCUCCUGAAUAUGUUCAUCUUGAGCUGGCCAAGCAUGAUGUCAACACUCCUGGAAGCCCCAAACGCCUUCCGUCCAGCGGCAAAUAUUGAACUAACAUCUUGAGCUUGAUAACCCCGUCCUGCCCCCCCCCCAAAAGAGCCAGCUUACAGGGUUGUCUCCUUUUGUCCCCCUGAAGUGCAACUUGGCGAUGGAUCCUGGAAUAAUGCUCUCUGUGUCAACACCCCGCGAGGGCCAGGCAGAGCCCCUGCUGUUUGCUCUCCCACUAGAACAUUUCCGCC